rnacentral:lncRNA from 1 species
GUUGUAUCUGCUUUUGUUUUAUUUUCAUUAGGGAUUCCAAGAUCAUUAUUGGUCAAUUGAUUUAAAGUAUUCUAGUUUAGAUUUUAAUGCUUGUUUAUUGGAUUAAUCAAAGGGCUUGAGUCGAGGUUGGUUCUACUUGCUCCCUGAGGUGGACUCUUGUGUUGCACCAGUGGUUCGACUAAGACUCCUAGGGUGAGGUUUCAUAGUACGGUAGUGUGUGAUCUACUGUAUAAAUGUGUUGAUGUCAUUAGAGCAAGGGCUCUCAGAUUAUACAUCGUGUGAUCUCUGUAUAUGCAACUAAUAAGUUUCGUGAAAAAGCUAUUGGCCUUUAACUGUGGCGUGUGAUUCAUCGUCCAUGUUAGGACAAGCUAUGCUAAUUUAGAGUACUUACGAUGAUUAUUUGUUGGUCGACCACCCCCGGAUUGCGCAAUCCCUCAAGUGAUAUUCAGAUUCUGGUAGGACGUGUAGAGUAUGCCUACAAAUGCUGCUCACACGAAUCUUUUUUGUUGGUUUCAUGGUCUCAGCACAAUCUCAAUUCUACACGAGUAUAGAUAGCCAAUCAGUGCUUAUUGCUAACCCCAUAAGACAUUUUUCCCUUGUGUUUCUCUGUAUUUCAGUCACGGGUACUGGAACUGAGGGUGGAGAGAGAGUUGGUCGGGGUUUUGAUAUCAGAUGAUAUCCAUUAUCGAUGUAUUUCUGAACUGCAGUUGUAUCUGCUUUUGUUUUAUUUUCAUUAGGGAUUCCAAGAUCAUUAUUGGUCAAUUUAUUUAAAGUAUUCCAGUUCAGAUUUUAAUGCUUGUUUAUUGGAUUAAUCAAAGGGCUUGAGUCGAGGUUGGUUCUACUUGCUCCCUGAGGUGGACUCUUGUGUUGCACCUGUGGUUCGACCAAGACUCCUAGGGUGAGGUUUCAUAGUACGGUAGUGUGUGAUCUACUGUAUAAAUGUGUUGAUGUCAUUAGAGCAAGGGCUCUCAGAUUAUACAUCGUGUGAUCUCUAUAUAUGCAACUAAUAAGUUUUGUGCAAAAGCUAUUGGCCUUUAACUGUGGCGUGUGAUUCAUCGUCCAUGUUAGGACAGGAUAUGCUAAUUUAGAGUACUUACGAUGAUUAUUUGUUGGUCGACCACCCCCGGAUUGCGCAAUCCCUCAAGUGAUAUUCAGAUUCUGGUAGGACGUGUAGAGUUUGCCUACAAAUGCUGCUCACACGAAUCCUUUCAGGUGGUUUCAUGGUCUUAUCAACGGUGAGGUUGUCCACACUGUUACGGGUGGCUGAUGCUAGGUAUAUUCCUAUACGGACCAUAGGGUCACAUCACUAGAUGCAGUGAUUAGAUAGACUUUCGUGUUGAAUUCUUAGCACAAUCUCAAUUCUACACGAGUAUAGAUAGCCAAUCAGUGCUUAUUGCUAACCCCAUAAGACAUUUUUCCCUUGUGUUUCUCUGUAUUUCAGUCACGGGUACUGGAACUGAGGGUGGAGAGAGAGUUGGUCGGGGUUUUGAUAUCAGAUGAUAUCCAUUAUCGAUGUAUUUCUGAACUGGAGUUGUAUCUGCUUUUGUUUUAUUUUCAUUAGGGAUUCCAAGAUCAUUAUUGGUCAAUUUAUUUAAAGUAUUCCAGUUCAGAUUUUAAUGCUUGUUUAUUGGAUUAAUCAAAGGGCUUGAGUCGAGGUUGGUUCUACUUGCUCCCUGAGGUGGACUCUUGUGUUGCACCAGUGGUUCGACUAAGACUCCUAGGGUGAGGUUUCAUAGUACAGUAGUGUGUGAUCUACUGUAUAAAUGUGUUGAUGUCAUUAGAGCAAGGGCUCUCAGAUUAUACAUCGUGUGAUCUCUGUAUAUG